GGUUCUGUGGUGUAGCGGUCAUCACAUCUGUUUUACACGCAGACGGUCCUGGGUUCAAUCCCCAGUGGAACCA